UACGUAGGUGGCGAGCGUUGUCCGGAUUUAUUGGGCGUAAAGCGCGCGCAGGCGGUGCGCCGCGUCCGGUGUGAAAUCUCCCGGCUCACCUGGGAGGGGGCGCUGGAAACGGGCGGACUGGAGGCAGGCAGAGGCCGGUGGAAUUCCCGGUGUAGUGGUGAAAUGCGUAGAGAUCGGGAGGAACACCAGUGGCGAAAGCGGCCGGCUGGGCCUGACCUGACGCUGAGGCGCGAAAGCGUGGGGAGCGAACCGG
rnacentral:rRNA from 1 species